UUGAUCCUGGCUCAGGAUGAACGCUAGCGGCAGGCUUAAUACAUGCAAGUCGAGGGGCAGCAGCUUUAUAGCAAUAUAGAGGCUGGCGACCGGCAAACGGGUGCGGAACACGUACACAACCUUCCUUUAAGUGGGGGAUAGCCCAUAGAAAUGUGGAUUAAUACCCCGUAAUAUUAUUGAAGUGGCAUCACUUUAUAAUUAUAGUUUCGACGCUUGAAGAUGGGUGUGCGGCUGAUUAGGUAGUUGGCGGGGUAAAGGCCCACCAAGCCUUCGAUCAGUAGCUGAUGUGAGAGCAUGAUCAGCCACACGGGCACUGAGACACGGGCCCGACUCCUACGGGAGGCAGCAGUAAGGAAUAUUGGUCAAUGGACGCAAGUCUGAACCAGCCAUGCCGCGUGAAGGAUGAAGGUCCUCUGGAUUGUAAACUUCUUUUAUAGGGGGCGAAAAAAGGGAAUUCUUUCUCACUUGACAGUACCCUAUGAAUAAGCACCGGCUAACUCCGUGCCAGCAGCCGCGGUAAUACGGAGGGUGCAAGCGUUAUCCGGAAUUCACUGGGUUUAAAAGGUGCGUAAGGCGGAUAGGUAAAGUCAGGGGUGAAAUCCUGGAGCUUAACUCCAGAACUGCCUUUGAUACUGCUAUCUUGAUAUGUGGAGUAAGCGGA
rnacentral:rRNA from 1 species